rnacentral:rRNA from 1 species
UUAGCCCUAAACAUAGAUAAUUAUGUAAACAAAAUUAUUCGCCAGAGUACUACUAGCAACAGCUUAAAACUCAAAGGACUUGGCGGUGCUUCAUAUCCUUCUAGAGGAGCCUGUUCUGUAAUCGAUAAACCCCGAUAAACCUCACCAAUUCUUGCUAAUACAGUCUAUAUACCGCCAUCUUCAGCAAACCCUAUAAAGGAACAAAAGUAAGCACAAUCAUAAUACAUAAAAAAGUUAGGUCAAGGUGUAACCUAUGAAAUGGGAAGAAAUAGGCUACAUUUUCUUAAACUAAGAAAAUUAACACACGAAAACCAUUAUGAAAUUAAUAG